GACGAACGCUGGCGGCGUGCUUAACACAUGCAAGUCGAACGGAAAGGCCCUGCUUUUGUGGGGUGCUCGAGUGGCGAACGGGUGAGUAACACGUGAGUAACCUGCCCUUGACUUUGGGAUAACUUCAGGAAACUGGGGCUAAUACCGGAUAGGAGCUCCUGCUGCAUGGUGGGGGUUGGAAAGUUUCGGCGGUUGGGGAUGGACUCGCGGCUUAUCAGCUUGUUGGUGGGGUAGUGGCUUACCAAGGCUUUGACGGGUAGCCGGCCUGAGAGGGUGACCGGCCCCAUUGGGACUGAGAUACGGCCCAGACUCCUACGGGAGGCAGCUGUGGGGAAUAUUGCACAAUGGGCGGAAGCCUGAUGCAGCAACGCCGCGUGCGGGAUGACGGCCUUCGGGUUGUAAACCGCUUUCGCCUGUGACGAAGCGUGAGUGACGGUAAUGGGUAAAGAAGCACCGGCUAACUACGUG
rnacentral:rRNA from 1 species